AUCUUUUCCAACUUUGGUGGCAAAGCCAAUCAAUAGGCAACCGGUCCUAUUCUCUCGAUAAUCUCAUAAGGUCUUAUGAAAUGCGGACUUAACUUGCCUCUUCUACCAAAUCUGAGGACAUUCCUCCACGGGGAUACUUUCAAAAACACUCGAUCACCCACUUGAAAUUCAAUAUCUUUACAAUUUAAAUCCAUAUAGGAUUUCUGCCUAUCCGAGGCAGCCUGCAAACAGUCACGGAUCACUUUAACUUUCUCUUCAAUCUCUUUAACUAAUUUGUCUCCGUGAAUCUGACCCUCUCUGAGCUCGGUCCAAAAUAAGGGCGUUCGAC
rnacentral:lncRNA from 1 species